rnacentral:ncRNA from 1 species
AGAUUUUCCAGCGUGCUGUUGAGCGGCUUAAUGAACAGCGAAUUGUUGGCAAGCUUCACAUCGCCCUUUGCCAGCACCUGCUCGCCGUUGAGCGGAAUGUCCAGAUGCAGGCGGGCGCUGACGUCGCCGUCCAGCUGCAGCUCGUCGAGGGUCGCCCCGAGAGACUUUUUCAGCGGCGUCUGCUGGAAGUAGGGACCGACGGCUUUGCCCGGACCGCGAAUAUCCGAGUCGAUAAUCAGCUUGUGCUUCGAGUAAUCGGGAAUGGCGGCGUGAAGAUCGGAGGCGGUGACGCCGCCGAGCGCAACCUUAUCCGCCUGCAUCCACAGACCGUCGUUGAGGAAGUUGAGAUCGAUAUUGAGGUUAGUGAGCGCCGGCCAGCCGGGCUGGAAGGCAAAGGUCGCAUUGUGCAGCGGUA